rnacentral:rRNA from 1 species
GAUGAACGCUGGCGGCGUGCUUAACACAUGCAAGUCGAACGGUGAAGGCGGAGCUUGCUCUGCUGGAUCAGUGGCGAACGGGUGAGUAACACGUGAGCAAUCUGCCCCUGACUCUGGGAUAAGCGCUGGAAACGGCGUCUAAUACUGGAUACGAGCUGCGAAGGCAUCUUCAGCAGCUGGAAAGAACUUCGGUCAGGGAUGAGCUCGCGGCCUAUGAGCUUGUUGGUGAGGUAACGGCUCACCAAGGCGUCGACGGGUAGCCGGCCUGAGAGGGUGACCGGCCACACUGGGACUGAGACACGGCCCAGACUCCUACGGGAGGCAGCAGUGGGGAAUAUUGCACAAUGGGCGAAAGCCUGAUGCAGCAACGCCGCGUGAGGGACGACGGCCUUCGGGUUGUAAACCUCUUUUAGCAGGGAAGAAGCGAAAGUGACGGUACCUGCAGAAAAAGCGCCGGCUAACUACGUG